rfam:Paenibacillus sp. 11 genome assembly, contig: Ga0139009_102
CUUUAUAACCCACUACGUUCAAAUAAAAC